rnacentral:rRNA from 1 species
UACGUAGGGUGCAAGCGUUGUCCGGAAUUAUUGGGCGUAAAGAGCUCGUAGGCGGUCUGUCGCGUCGGCUGUGAAAACCCGGAGCUCAACUCCGGGCCUGCAGUCGAUACGGGCAAACUGGAGUGUUGCAGGGGAGACUGGAAUUCCUGGUGUAGCGGUGAAAUGCGCAGAUAUCAGGAGGAACACCGGUGGCGAAGGCGGGUCUCUGGGCAACAACUGACGCUGAGGAGCGAAAGCAUGGGGAGCGAACAGG